rnacentral:tRNA from 1 species
GCCUGGGUGGCUCAGUUAGUUGAGCGUCCGACUUCAACUCAGGUCAUAGUCUCAUGGUUCAUGGGUUCAAGCCCCACGUCGGGCU